UCCAUCCCUCCAUCUAUCCGUUCGUUCAUCCACACAACCGCCCACCCAUCCAUCAAUCCAUCCAUCCAUCCACAGAAACACCCACCCACCCAUCCAUCCACCCACCCAGCCAUCCAUCCAUCCAGCCAUCCAUCUAUUCAUCCCUCCAUCUAUCCGUUCGUUCAUCCACACAACCACCCAGACCCAUUCAUCCAUCCAUCCAUCUAUCUAUCUAUCUAUCUAUCUAUCUAUCUAUCUAUGUAUGUAUGUAUGUAUGUAUGUAUGUAUCUAUCUAUCUAUCUAUCUAUCUAUCUAUCUAUCUAUCCAUCCAUCCAUCCAUCCAUCCAUCCAUCUAAGUCUACUCAUCCAGGAAAACCUCUAACCAACUUCCUGUUAGAUCAGCCUGGGAGCCCUUUUGAUUGCAAACACAUAUGCUUUAGUCACGGCAGGAAAAUAUAUACCAUCAUUUAUUUUUAGAAGCCAUUAAUAGCGUUUUAUUCCUGAACUUUCCACCCACAGAAUCCAAACACUGUUACACGGUGUUCAAAUGCUUUUGAUAUAAACAGCACAUAUCAUAUAAACAGCACUUUUCUUAGUUUUUUGGUGUUUCAGUUCAAGAGUACAUUAUGUAUAAACGUUUUUGAACUUUUGAGUAAACCCAUUCAAUUCAAGUGACCAUUAAAUUAGAUUUAAAACUGUAAUAACUUAAUAACAACAAUUAUAAAUUAACAAAAGCAACCUUUAUAGUGCUUGAGCAUGAUCUUCACCACCAUGAUCACUCAAUCAAUUGGUCAGUCAGCCAGUCAAUCAAUAUACAAACAAACAAACAAACAAACAAUCAAAGAGAUGAAAUAAUGAUCCAAUUCUGGGUUUAGGGCAGAUAGAUAGAUUUUUGUAGGCGUAUCUAUAUGCCAUUGCAUGCACUUGUGCAUAUCCCUCUGUGUUUAUGCUCGUUCGCGUUGUUUGUGGAGCAGUGCCUCGCUGUCAUUCCUGUGAUCUCAGUACCAAGGCUACACUUUCUCUUUAAGAGUGUAUCACUAGGCAGAGAAGCGAAUGAUGAUGCUGGAGUCGUGUCAGUCUAGCAGCCCUAUGCGGUCACACAGCACUGGCUAUUAGAUCAGCUACUCUUUUAAACACAUGUUAUCUUGUUAAAUCGGGUGAGAACUGAUUCCAAGUUAAAAAUAAUAAAGUUCAAGGGCCGUGUGCAUGACGAGUGCUUUGUGUCUGAGUUUCUCUGACUUCCUCUUGUGUCUGAAUCUGGCUGUGUGUUUCCUCUCUGUGCAUGUGCAUGCAUGUGCAAGUUCUUGUGCAAUUGCAGUGUGUCUGUGCAUGUGUGCUAGACCCCUGCAGACAUGUGGCCCGUUGCCCAUGGGGGCAGGAAGAACAGCUGUCCCACUGAAAAGAGAGAGAAAGAAAGAGAGACUGGGAUCACUGGGACCAUUAUGUUUGGCCACACUGUGUGCUGUGUCUCUGAAAACGUCUUUCUGCAGCUGGGCCCUACAGAAAGACACCAUCUGAACUACUCCUCCCUCUUCUUCGUCAUCUAUUUUACUCACAUCAAGAACUGUGAACUAACUUAUUUCCUUUUUCAAUAGCCACACCACUAUUGUAUUCAAUCCUACACCUACUGGCCUUGUUAAACAAUACACACACACACUUGUAAAAAGAAACCAACCCACACAGUCAUACACACACACACACACACACACACACAUGAAGGCCAAUGGACCACUGGUUCUCAGCAUGAUACAGUCCACAGCAAAGACCAUGAAAGCCAGACAGAAAAAUAAAUUACUGCAGUACUACCAGGUUCCCUUCUCUCUCAGCUCUAUCAGUACUCGUUUAGAUAAGUGAGGGUUUGUGUCCUGAAAUAUCGUGACGUUAGCAAACACUGAGCCUCAAUAUCUCUUUCAAUUAUGCAAGAUAGAUAUGGAGCCAAAUAUACGGUACCUGUCAACUGUUUUUCAAUACAAUGGUGUCUUAUUCAACACAGGCAUGGGAAAAAUGCAUUAAAAUGUAUUUUUGAUAAUGACACAGUUAACAAAAUAUAGUAUUUUAUAUUUAAGAAUACAUUUUGUAAGGGGGGGACAUGAGAUAAGUAGUACCACUUCAGGUGAUAAGGGUAGUGUUAUUGUUGUGGUGCCUUGAUAGCUAACACUUGUGCUGCUGUCCCUCAGAAUCUACACAAAUAAUCUGAACAAAAUCAGGAAGAGGCUUUUAUACAGCCAAAUGCAGCAUUCUCUGUCUUUGGUUUCGAAUAAAUUAGAGUACCACAGAAAAUUGAAUUGCCGUUAUUUUCACCUGAGUGCUGAAAAGAGUUUCACACAACUACAAGAUCAUAGUCUUUUCCUGCUUGCUAGCUAGCAUACAAGCUCACAUCCAACUCUGUAGCUAGCAUACAAACUCAUAUCCUGUUUACUAGCUAGCAAACAAACUCAUAUCCUGUUUACUAGCUAGCAUACAAACUCACAUCCAGCUCUCUAGCUAGCAUACAAACUCACAUUCAGCUCUCUAGCUAGCAUACAAACUCACAAUCAGCCCUCUAGCUAGCAUACAACCCUACAUGCAGCUCUCUAGCUAGCAUGCAAACUCACAUCCAGCUCUCUAGCUAGCAUACAAACUCACAUCCAGCUCUCUAGCUAGCAUACAAACCCAUAUCCUGUUUACUAGCUAGCCUACAAACUCACAUUCAGCUUUCUAGCUAGCAUACAAACUCACAUUCAGCUCGCUAGCUUGCAUAGAAACACUUAUCUUGUUUACUAGCUAGCAUACAAACUCACAUUCAGCUGUCUAGCUUGCAUACAAAUUAAUAUCUAUCUCCCAAGCUAGCAUACAAACCCACAAUCAGCACCACUAGCUAGCAAAUGAUACUAUUUAUUUGAAGUCUAAACAUUUAUUAAAUAUACAACAGUUAUGGUUGAAUGUCUCUAUUUCUUUACUGACAAUUACACAUAUUUAAUAGCAUAACAUGACAGAUGGAUGCUAGCUUUCAUAUGUCUUUAAUGUGAGUGCCCUCGCUAAAGUCCCUCAGAAACACCAGCAGCAUUUAAGUAUUUCAAAUACAUGUACCAGAAAUAGUGCCCAUCCCUGAGCUUGCAUAUCCUUCCUAUCGUACAAUUCAGAUCUCUUUAUUCUUUUCACUUCCUUAAAUGUGUCUGCACCUGGCAGUCUACGUAUAACAAUGGCUGCCAUGUGGACAAUUCACCACCAUUUUCUGACCACUCUUGAAACCUUACUUAGUGAAAGCUUUAAAUAAAGCAGCUGUUCUUUAUCCACGGAGAGGUAUUGAUUCAUUGAUCUAUCGUUAUGCAAACAGAUGGUGAACAAGUGAUAAGCAAAGAAAUAAAAUUAAAAAACAAAGAAAUUUGCAUUUUGGCUUUGUUUUGAGUUUCAUUAAUCUCAGAUCAAUCAUGGUUCCUGAUGAAGACAGAGGUGUUAGGAGUGAUUUAUAAGAACUAAUUAGUUACUGGUUGUUUUAAGCUGCCACUACAUGCGGUAGCAUUGAUGCCAGAGGAGUUGAAGAGUCUGAUGAAUAGACUGUUUCAUAUACGAACACUGGCGCUUGCUUUUUUCUAUCGGCGCCAUUUUAAUGCCACUGCAGCCGGCUAGAAUAUUUCUCGAAUGACACACACUGGCUACUGGAAACAAUGAAUGAUAGCAUGCGGCAAAGAAAUAUGGCCAUUGUUAGACAAUGACAGCAAAAGAUUGAUAACAAGCAGAUUCCUCUAAUUAUACAGUAAACACAGUAGGAAGGCAACAUGGUUACUGGAAACUAUGAAACACAGGAUGAAGUAUUGAGUCAGAAAUUAAUAACAACAAAAGUAUAUUGCUUCAGUUCAAUUGUGAAUACUGUGCAAAGCCAGGAUCAUUUUGUUUCCACCGUGGUCGUGACUCUUGAAUUGUAUAUAAUAUUUUAUAUUCUCAAAAUUGUACAAGAUAUAGGAAUAUAUGGGGUUUGAGGACAUUGUGAAAUGGGAUACACCUACUUAUCUGAAAUUGAACAUCACAAAAUAAAAGAAAAACCUGAAUUAAACCACGUCUUGUUGAUAGAAUUAUCCGGAUGCCAUAAUUGUCAACAAGCUUAAUUUUGAUGUGAAUGCUGAAAUUGUAAUGUGUUUGCAAUGUGUACAAGAAACUAAUGAGCAUUUUUAAUAGGUCAUUUAUUAAAAGGAUUUUAAACUCUUUUGUAUCAUUUCUUGACGUGGUAAUAAAAAUUUUCCGAGCAAAAGGUCAUACUGUAGAGCUGCAUUGUUACCGCAGUAAAAGGUCGAGAUCAAGCAUUUAGUGACAUAUUUAUCCAUCAAGUAACCUAGAAAGUGAGGUCUAUACUUAGCUGUCCAUACCACUCACUCAAUGUAGCUGCAGAUUGAAGCAUCUAAAAUAUAUUUUCACCCAGGGCCUUUUUUUUUCACUCAGGGCCAUUGGGUUAUUCAAUUAUGACACUUGGGAGUACAUAAUGCCUAUAUGUGAAAUAAUAAUGUUGCUUGUUGGGGUUUUUUUGUUUGUUUUUUUUUUUUUACUGCAAUGCACAUUUCAUUUUGAAGCACUUAAAGUUACUGAAAUGAAAUAAGAAAGGUAGAGAAAAUACAAGGGAAUAUAUUAUUACAGUGCCCUGCGAUGGAUUGGCACUUGGCACCCUGUCCAGCGUGUACCCUGCCUUGUGCCCCAUGCUCCCUGGAAUAGGCUCCAGGUUCCUCACAAACCUGUAGGAUAAGCGGACGAAUGGAUGGAUAGAUUAUUAUAAAGAUUCAUUACUAAAUGAAUUGAUUGGAUGCAUACAUGGAUACUGUAUAAACUGUGCUCUGUAUUACUCUCUGAUCUAACUGUAAGAUUCAGUGCUACUGUUUUCUUUUCAUGCAAUCUAUUAGCAUGAGAUCCGAGUGUUUUAUUGAUCUGGUUUGAUAAACACGUAUGUAAAUGUACAAGUUGUGUGAUUUGUCAGUGUGGGUGGGAACUUAACAAGAUACAGGCGAACUAAAGCCUGAUCUAUCUCUCUGUGUCUGUCAAUUACUCUGUUUCUCUGUUUCUCUCCAUCUCUUUAAACGGCUGGCCACUCUUGAAAAGCACCUUUAUCAGAUCACAGCUGGACUCGAGAGCAGCAUAACUGAACUUAAACAAUCGGGCAAUUGUCAGGGGGCAGACAGAAGUAAAUUGAAACGGCUCACAAACGCCUUCUGUGUGUGUGUGUGUGUGUGUGUGUGUGUGUGUGUGUGUGUGUUUGUGUGUGUGUGUGUGUGUGUGUGUGUGUGUGUGUGUGUGUGUGUACUCUGGUAUUUAGUAUAAGCCUGAGCUAGAAAACCCACUCUCUUGGUUCUCGAGUCACUGUAUCUAUGUGCCGCUAGGCAGCAAAAGUAAAAAUGUAAUGCAACCACAUUGAUCCCUCUUGAAACCAAUGUUAAAUGGGAUCAUAAUGUAAUGUCUAGACACUGCUAACAGUGGAAGCUGUGUCGAUACAUCGAGUAAUGUAGAAGAGUGCUGAUCUAGGAACAGCUUGCCAGAUCUAGAGCUCCAGAGCCAGAUUUGUAGGCCAAAGCAAGCACAAAACCCAAAAACUAAAAAAACUCCAAUGUGUUCCAUCUAAAUGAAGUGCCUUUAAAGUAGCACUAGUCUGAAAAAUGUGAUUAUUGGAUUGGUGACUACAAUAAUAUGUGUGGCAGCCUGGGAAAACUCUUUGCACUGUGAAAUUUUGAUAUUUUCUUAUAAAAGCAUUCAACGGAGUGUUUUAUUGUUUACACAACUAAGCUAAUAUAUGCAAAAAUGCCCCAAACCGUCGACAUAAUUAGCUCAUUUGUCAGGCAAAACUAAAUAGACUUGUUAACGCUGCCCAGAUGCAACCACAACUGCUAUGAGCGCAGCUGAAAGAACCUGUGAUCCAAUUAGCCCCCCCCACCCCACCCCACCCCCCCCCCCAAAAAAUACACGAAAAACUAAAAAAUUUUAACACAACUAUAAUUAGCAUCAGUAUAUGUUGAGGAAACUGUAAGUAUUUAUACACUUAGAUGUCAGCGGAUAUUGAAAAUGAAAUGUUGGCCUCUUUCAAAAAUAAACAAAUAAAAUAAAGAAACUGGGAGGAAGAUCAGAUGUAGAAAUGGAAUAGUAACUGAUGGUUUAGAGAAAUAAAGCACAAAAAAAAGCUUUCCGUUCAGUCUGCGGGUUUAAACUGGCCUGGGCAAUGCCAAGGCCACACCAAAAGUGCUCAACCACCAACGAACAAGGUCACAUCCUGUCUGCAUUUCCUGCAUAGAGAGGACAGAGCUCAAAUAUAAAACUUCGUGCAACUAAACUACCCUUCUCUCUCUCUCUCUCUCUCUCUCUCUCUCUCGCUUCUCUCUCUCACUCUCUCUCUCGCUCUCUAUUCUUAGUAAUUCAGCCGAGGGCUUUAAAAUGCCAAUUACUACAGACAUCAUUUCUUCACUGAAGACACCAUCAUCUCUCUCUCUCUCUCUCUUUCUCUCUCUCGGCCUCUCGGUCUCUCUCAGCUGUAGUACAGGAAUCAAGCGCUAAUACUGAACGCUCUGCAGAUUCUCUCAAUUGAAAAUGAUGUCUCUGUUUUUCCCUUUCAGACACAUUUGCAGUGUGAUUUUGUGGUUUUGAUCAUCGCACGCUCGCUGACAGCAGGGAGACACAGUGAUGAUGUGAGAUGCUGCGAGAUGCUGCUGCAAUAACCAUCAUCUCUUUUCCUCCUCACUGCGCUGAAGCUCUGCCACAAUAAUGGCCAUUUGUCAGCGGAUAAAAAAAGCAUUCGCAUUGCAUUUUGCCUCUUGAUGUGCCCGAUUGUCGAAAAGGUCACAUUAACGGGGGACUUUUUUUUUUUGCCUCAUAUUCAGAGAAGUGCCUAAACAGUGUAGUGUGGUGUCACACACGGAAACUAGCAAACCAGUAUUUUCUUUCUCAAACAUUAACUAGCAAGGUUACUUCCCUGAAUGCAGAUUAAUAUGUAAACCAGUGGGAUGAAAAUGGCCCUGUGUAUUACCACUACACAGAAGGCUUUCUAAUGAAAUAUUACACUAUCUAGAAAUAUGUUCACAUUAUCAGGUUAAAGUAACAGAAAUCAAAAUUUCCACCUGAAUGUGACACAGAUCAUAUUUUAUUCAGGACUGUGUGGACACAAAAAUCCAAAUCAGACCUGGGCCACUUUUCUAUGUGGUCCUAGAAUGGACACAUAUUCAAUAUGUGGCCAUGUGACAAGAAUUAGAAUGGUCAGAUAGCCACUCAUGUGACUUUUUCCCAAUGAGUAUGCUCAAAUCACAGUUGUUGUCAUCAUCCACUGUCAGCAGCAUGGCAGAACAACAAUGGAGGACAGCAAUAGUGUACACUGCACUGGGGAAAUUAGUGCUUUACUAGAUACACUAUCUGGCCAAAAGUAUGUGCGCAUCUGAUCAUUGAACAUCCCAUUCCAAGACCAUGGGUAUUAAUAUGAUGCUGGAUUUGGUGUUCCAAUUAAUUCCAAGGUGUUUAGUGGGGUUGAGGCCAGGGCUUUCUGCAGACCACUCGAGUUCUUCCACUCCAACCUUGUCAAACCAUGUCUUCAUGGAGAUCGCUUUAUGCAUAGAGCAGGUGUGGGUGCAGGUUUUCAUUCUAACCAAGCGGAAGUGACACCUGUGUCUACUGAAAGCCAAGAUCAACUGAUUAAUCAGAUGUGGCUCCUGCUUGAUUGGAAUAAAAACUUGCACCCACACAGGUCCUUUGCGGAUGAGAUUGGACUCCUACCAUGGGGCACUGUCAUUGGUUUGGAGAAGACCCUCUUUGGGUGUUACUGUCAGGUGUCCGCAUACUUUUGGCUAUAUAGUGUAUUUGGGGAAAUGAAUGGAUUGCUACCAAAACUGUGUAGUGUUCAAAACAAUUAUCCAAGAAAGGGCCAAAAAGAAUGUGGCUAUGAUCUCCAGAGCAAAUUAUGACACAGACUUGCGCUAGUAUAUCCAUUUCCGCUAGUGUGUCCAUUUGUUUCUUGUACUAUGGUGGAUUGUCUCACAAAUAAUGAUAUUGAUGUGCCAUUGGAGGGUGUUUCAGGGGACUGCGCAUUCACAUUAAAGACAGAUAUGGGUCACAUGCAAUUAUGAAUGUUAACCAUCAAGAAAGAUAGUUCUGAUCUGAGUAAAAAAAAAUCUAAAUUUUACAAAGAAGCUUGGCGUAUCAACUUUGCCUUUGUGCCACUAUGGAUUUAUUUCAUUUGCCACCAAAUGUGUGAAUAGGAGACUGCAACAUAAUGUAUAUUUCUGAUUGCAAGGAUC
ensembl:lncRNA